GUCGAAGUGGUGGAAUUGGUAGACACGCCAUCUUGAGGGGGUGGUGGCCUCACGGCUGUGCGGGUUCGAGUCCCGCCUUCGACACCA
rnacentral:tRNA from 1 species